UGCUGAAAAAGGUAAACUUAUUGAAAGAUAAGGACGCAAAACUAUAGGGGCUUCUAUCUUUAAGAUAUGCCAGCCAGUUGCCAGG
rnacentral:ncRNA from 2 species